AGAGGCGUGUUAUAUAACGAAAAGGUUACUUUGUAAAUUAAAAAACAAAAGAACUGUUCCUCAAGAGAAAACUCGUAGAAAUAAAAAUAUUUCACGCUUUUAGACACAUCUUAAGAUGUUAUGGUCUAUUAGAAAUUAAGUGAACUGAACCAUCUUAGUAGCUGAAUAAAAAUCAAAAGAGAAAAAGGCAGUAACGGCGAGUGAAACCUUGAUGUGGAGAUGCUUGAAUUUUAACUAACAUUUAAUGGCGGUAUUGGGUAAAAAAGAUAGCCCCGUAAGAAAAAUGAAAGUUCUCGAAACUUUUGCGUAAAAAAUUAUGCAAAUAUUGUAGAAUUAACUACAUAACUAGUUAACCUUUUAUCACUGAUAGUGAACAAGUACUGUGAAGGAAAGUUUGAAAUUUAGUGCUUUUAAAGCAGUCUUUUUAAAAAGACGUACCUUUUGCAUUAUGAUUCGACCAGUUAAAUAACGUAGCAAGCUUAAAACUUUAAAAGUCUAGGCGAAGAUAACUUGAUUUGUAGUUACGUUAUAUAGACACGAAACCAAUGUGAUCUAUUCAAAUUCUAGUUGAUUACUUUUUAACAAUAAGUAGGAGGACUUAACUGGUGUUUGUUGCAAAAAACUCAGGUGAAAUUUGAAUAGGAGUGAAAGGCUAAUCAAACUUGGAGAUAGCUUGUUUUCCGCGAAAAUUUUUUAAGAAAAGCGCCUAAAAUAUUUCUUUAUAUGGUAAAGCACUGAUUUGGCUGAGGUUGCUUAACCGCAUGACGAGGUCAUUUCAAACUAUGAAUAUAUAAUUGUAUUUUUUAGGUAGUCAGACUAUGGGUGAAAAAAUCCUUAGUCAAAAGAGAAACAACUCAACGAAUGACUUUUAAGGUUUCCAAAUAAGCAACAAGUUAAAGGAUAUUUUUCAGUUCAGACUAUAUUUUAGUUGGCUUAGAAACAGCCACCAAUUUUUGAUAACGUAACAGUUCGCAUACUUAAGCUGAAAUGUACCGAAAAUAUAAUGAAACUCAAGCUUUACCGAAAAAUCAUAACAUUCUUGUUGGUAGCGGAAUGUUCUGUGUAACGCUUUAGUUUUCGUGAGAAAACUAAAUCUAAACAGAAUCAAUAAUGUCGAAAUGAGUAACAUAAAAGAUUACAAAAUCUUUCACCAAACGUCGCAGGUUUUCUACGUUAAAUUAUAUUUCGUAGAGUUAUUCGAACUCUUAUCCUUAGGCGAAAGCUGUUGGAGAUGAGACAGGUUGAUGUUUCUUUUAUUUUUAAGAGAUCAAACGAAGAAAAGAAAUACGAAUCUUGAUGAAAAACGGGUUUAUUCAUAAAUAUAAGUGUUUCUUCAGGAAAAACUAAAUCAUCCAGUUCGUACUCAAACCGAAACAGGUAGACGUGUAAAGACGGUGUAAAAAUUAUAGGGGGAUAUGGAACUCGGCAAAAUUUUUCUGUAACUUUGGGAGAAAGAAAGACGGCAGGUGUCACACCUGUCGUCCUCAUACUAAGGAACUUGCGACUGUUUAUUAAAAACACAAGAUUAUGCAUAAUUAUGUAAAGAAGUAUAUAAUCUGAUUAGUGCUCAAUGCCUGGAAACUGAAAAAAGACUGUGAAAGCUUUCUUAUAAGGUCAGGUGAAUAGCGGCUUUAUCCUGAGAGUCGUAAUGUAGCGAAAUUCCUUGUCCGAUGAAUACGGUCCCGCAUGAAUCUAAUAACGAUACGUUCACUGUCAUAUCCCUUAAAUUUUGUGAAAUUGAAUUUGGUGUGAAGAUGCACCAUUGCCUUGCUAAGACGAAAAGACCCCAUGCACCUUUACUGCAGACAACUAUUGUAGAAACUUUUUUUAUUGUUCAGAAUAGAAAGGAGCUUAUAAAAUUUAUGAAGAAUAUUUUUUUUCAAAAUUAAGCGUCUUUGAGAUACUUUUCUUGAGUGAGUUAAUACUUCAUUUUUUAAGACAGUUUUUGUUUGGCAGUUUUUUUGGGGCGAAAUUCUUUUAAAAAGUAACAAAGAAGUACAAAAGGUAAACUCCGGUAAAAUAUUUUACCUCUGAGCGUAAAAGCAAAUGUUUGCUUAACUGUAAGACGGAUAUGUCAAACAGAAACGUAAGUUGGUUUUAGUGACCUCACUUUUCUGAUUAAAAAGGAAGUGAUUCAUCAGAUAAAAGGUACGCUGGGGAUAACAGAAUAAUAAAAAUCAAGCGUUCAAAGCGACGUUUUUGUUUGUGACCUCGAUGUCGACUUGUGGCAACCUUGAUGCGAAGAAGUUUCAAAGGGUUUGACUGUUCGUCAAUUAAAGCCGUACAUGAGUUGGGUUUAAAACGAUGUGAAUCAGUUUGGUUUCUAUCUAGCAAGGCUGAUAAAAACUGAGAGUCCGCUUUUUAGUAUGAGAAGAAUAAGAGCGGGAAGCCUAUGGUAAUUAGUUAUUCUUCCAAGAGUACGCUAAAUAGCUACGCUUCAAAAGAUAAAAAAUGAAAGCAUCUAUUUUGUUGAAACUUCUCUCAAAAAAAGUUUUUU
rnacentral:sRNA from 14 species